rnacentral:tRNA from 1 species
GGAGAGAUGCCAGAGUGGUCGAAUGGGGCAGACUCGAAAUCUGUUGAUCCGCUUGCGGAUCCUAGGGUUCGAAUCCCUAUCUCUCCACCA